UACGUAGGGUGCAAGCGUUAAUCGGAAUUACUGGGCGUAAAGCGUGCGCAGGCGGUGCUGUAAGACAGGUGUGAAAUCCCCGGGCUUAACCUGGGAACUGCAUUUGUGACUGCAUCGCUGGAGUGCGGCAGAGGGGGAUGGAAUUCCGCGUGUAGCAGUGAAAUGCGUAGAUAUGCGGAGGAACACCGAUGGCGAAGGCAAUCCCCUGGGCCUGCACUGACGCUCAUGCACGAAAGCGUGGGGAGCAAACAGG
rnacentral:rRNA from 1 species